CCUGAAAUAGCUUUUCUCUUUCACAGUCACCAUGUGGACAAGCACCAGCCCUGUUUCCCAUGCAUUAGCUGUAUUUAGGCAAAUUGCUUAAACUCCCUGGGCAUCAAUUUGUAAAUUUCAAAGAUGGAGCUGGGAUAUUAUACCCGCAUCACGGAGAGGCUGUGAAAAUCAAGUGAGAACACAGGCACGAAAGCACCCAUCAGGUCCACGCAGACAGCAAGUGCCCCAGUAACUCGUGAUGAGGUUAUUAUUAGCUUCACCCGCACACACACCAGCAGUGUGGGGUCAGAACGCAGCAGACUCCUUGUCAAAGGGCCAUGUGAGAAGAGACUGCCAGUCCAGACCAGGCCUGGAUCAGACUGUGCGCUCACCACGCAGAUGGACGCGUGCUCGGUCAGAAAGGUUCAGUUGCAGGUGGCACACGCUGGAGUUCCCGUCAUGGCUCAGAGGCUGUGCGGUGCUGCUGACUAUAGGAAUCCGUGUCAACCACAGGAAGACUGCAGAUCUUCUGAGUACUGGCCAACUUAGGUACUUCACUUAAUCAACGUACUAGACCAGCAUAAAAUGCUAGUUCAUUCCCCAACAAAAAUUUUGAACAGGGUCUUAAUGAAAACUUGUAUUGCUCUGGGCAUGAAUCCAUAUACUGUUCCUUGCUUGGUCUACGGAUGUACACCGUAAAGCUGCUGAAAAUCCUUUCUUGAUUCCAGCAACAUUUCAAAUCCAGCGACACUGUAGCAUCUCCUGGUUAAGGAGAAGGUUCCCACGGCCUUCGUGUAAGGGAGAGAGUGGAACUGCAGAUGGUCACGAGGCUCCGCUCUGGGGCUUGUGUCUGCAUCGGGGUCCUGCUGGGGAAGCCAGCUGCCCGGGGUCCACUCCUCACUGCUCAGUGCUUCCACGACCACCAUAAAACCCAGCUUUAUGUCAUGGCCUGAUGGCCAAAUGGAAUUCACCAUUAUUUCUGAAACGUAAAAUCCCAUUAGCCAUCUAUGACUUUGAGCCAAUAUACUUCCACUGGCAAACUUAAGAACAAGGAAAUAAGUGCACUGUCGCAAUAACAAACCCUCACGGACGGAGGAUGGGUAUGCCUUCCUCUGGUCUUCCGUCAGCCCUACCAGUGCAGGGUUUACAGGUGACGACAGCAUGGAACACGUUCCAGGUCUAAUCAUUCUAUAGGCUUUACAGUGGCCCUACCUCAUACUUACAUUCCUAUUCCCUUUACAAAGUUGACAAACAGGCAUUUGUAUUAUGCCUAACAUUUGCCUUGAGAAUUUAGAAGAAGUAGGAGGAGGAAAAACACUUAAAUAACUUGAUUUGGGCAGAUUGAGGAUUUCCUUAAGAUAAGAAAUAAUGUGCUUUUACAAGAGAAAAACUACUGCUGCUUCUUUUCUUUUUUUUCCCAUCUUGCCUUUGCAAUAUCAACAGAGACCACCCCUUUUUUCCCCCUCAACUUUAAAAUAUGCUAAAACAUUAAUUACUGGGAGGACCAGUAAUUAAAGUGGGGACUCGGGAUACUAGAUUGUGGUCAACCGAUCACUGUCCCCUCCCUUCACCAGCCUUGCAUUGACUAAAGGACACUUUUCUCAGUGCCACCAAUGCUGGACUUCAGCAGGUGACCCUCAGCCAAGAACAUGUGAGCAGAGGCUUUCACUGUGCUCGCCUGGCUUGGCACGCUUCUGAUGCAGCUGUGAGCUACCCCAGAAAACCCACCCCACAUACCUGCUGGUCCAAGGGGGAGGAGGAUCAGUGGAGCCCACCUGGCCCAAUCGGGUACCCAGAGACAAACCCGGUCCAGCCCAACAUGGCUGAGGUCAGCCAAUAUCCAGCCAGCCAGGAAACUCAAGAGCAAGAGAGAUAAAUGGUUUUUAAAUUUCAGGAACUAUCUGUUACACUGCAUUAUCACAAAUGUAGCUGACUACUACACAAUCUUACUAAAACAUACUGAGUUAUAGCAGCAUAUGCUCAAAGACUGAACAGGAAUUGAAGCAGUCGUCUGCCACUGAUGCUCUCAUUUGGUAGAUGACACUAUUGAAGCUCAAAAUCUCUAACUUGCUCCAAGGUACACAAGAGGAGAAUGGGCUCAGGUCUCCUGAUCCCCGGUGCCUUUCCUGACUGAGCAAAGGCAGAUUCUGGAUUAGCAUGGGUCUUCGUUACGAGCCCUGGGUUGUACUGUCCAGCUCCCCGAUUUAAGUGCACGCCCCUCUGUCCACUCUCCUCCCGCCCUCCCUCCCUGCUUCUCCAUCAUCCUCUAUACUUGUUCUCAGAGUGUGCUGUGAUUUCUACUCAGUAACCCCUUCAGCCCUUGUGAGGAAGCUCAGCUCACUCUGGGGUUACACGAGGAGGUCUGUUCUAAGAUUGGUGAUUUUAGCAAGUCGGAUUCUGGUUUGUUUCGUUAUUCCCAAAAUCACUUUCCAAAUCUCACACUUAAUUCCUAGGACCCCAGACAUUCAUAGCUCUAUGGGGUCGUGAGGUUACUUCACCCCAGUUUAUCUUGAGUGGAUUUUAAAGGAGAAGGAGAAUUCUUUCUUUCUUUCUUUUUAGGGCCACACCUGCUGCACCAGGCUAGGUAUCAAAUUGGAGCUGCGGCUGCCAGCCUACACCACAGACACAUCAACUUGAGACCCAAGCCACAUCUGCAACCUACACUGCUGCUCACGGCAACACUGGAUCCUUAACCCACUGAGAGGGGCCAGGGAUCGAACCCACCUCCUCGUGGAUUCUAGUUGAUUUUGUUACCACUGAGCCACAGCAGGAACUCCCUAGAGGAGGGGGAGAGUUCUCAAUACGUCUGAAGCUUGAAGCAAAGUGGCUCCACGUUGGUAAAAGCCUAACACAAACAGAUUUUCCUUUUGUUACGUACAGUGGUAGUGAAAGUCCUCGACUCCACAGCCGCUUCUUUCCCCACUGCUUUGAAAGCUCCAUCCUUGCACACUUUCCCAUCUCCUGCCCAGAUUCGCUCUGAUCAAUUCAUUACUCUCUGUAGGGCUGGAGCUUACGGUCAGGACCUUUAAGAAUCUCCUCAAGGCUCCUCCAAAUAAGUGCCACUUCUCUUAAAAACAUACUCAGUGCAGCUCAAGUUUUACUCUGCACAUGAUGUCCCACCUCCUAAAAUGCCUUCUGGGAGCUCUUCUGACCUGUGCCUGAACCAAAGCCGCAGCGUCCGCUGCUCCCUGGGACCAGCUCCCGCUCCUGAUUUUGACCAACCCAGGUGCGCUGACCCUCAGCAGGUUCAUCCCACUAUCUCAUCGGCUCAGGACUCCACACUCACCUCCGGCCCAUCUCUUUGUUCUGUGCAUGGAUUCUUUCCUUUCUAUUUUUUGAUGAGUGUCCCAAAUCCCACUUUCAACUUGAAGCAUCUCCCAAAUAAAGACAGCAUACACCGCA
rnacentral:lncRNA from 1 species